UCAUCAACAACCUCUUUCUCUUUCUUCCGAUGGUUUUUGCACAAUUGUAGAAGUUAUCCCGUUGAAGACGAUGACUUUAUAUGGAAGAACUAGCUUUGCCCCACCAUUGAAAAUAGGCCAAGGGUGCCCAUGUAAUGGAAGAUCUACAAGAAGGCUACCUUAUGAGAAGUGGAGAACCGCAAGGAAAGAAUACUUGCUUCCAGAGAGAGUUGGUUUUUCUUUGGCCUGAGUUUUUGUGUGUAUUUUCACAAGAAGCUGAAAUUGAUCACAAUUCAAAGCAAGAUUAUUAAUCAA